AACUCUUUUUUGUCAAGCCUUCGACUUUUGUUGAAAAAGCGAGACAUAGCGAUCCUACAUUCCGUCGUCGUCGGCGGCGUCCACAAAUAUUCACUCUGUGGUUAAAGUUGUUGAAAUUUUAAUAACUUUCUUAAACUAUCCUGGAUUUCUACAAAACUUGGACAGAAGCUUGUUUAUGAUCAUAAGAUAAUAUUCAAAAGUAGAUUUUGUGAAAAAAAAAAAUCAAUUUUUUCCGUAUUUUAUUUAUAAAUGGACUUAGUUUUUCUGCCAGGAAAUUUUAUAUUCACUCUGUGGUUAAAGUUUUUGAAAUUUUAAUAACUUUCUUAAACUAUCCUGGAUUUCUACCAAACUUGGAAAGAAGCUUGUUUAUGAUCAUAAGAUAGUAUCAAGAAGUAAAUUUUGUAAAAAAAAAAUUCCAUUUUUUCCGUAUUUUACUUAUAAAUGGACUUAGUUUUUUUUCUGCCAGUUAACAUUACAUUCACUCUGUGGUUAAAGUUUUUCAAAUUUUAAUAACUUUCUUAAACUAUCCUGGAUUUGUACCAAACUUGGACAGAAGCUUGUUAAUGAUUAAAAGCUAGUAACUAAAAGGAAAUUUUGUUAAAAUUUUGUUUCAUUUUUUAUACGACCGCAAAAAAUUUUUGUGGUCUUAUAUUGGUAUGACGUUGGCGUCGUCGUCGUCGUCGUCGUCGUCCGAAGACACAUUGGUUUUCGCACUCUAACUUUAGUUUAAGUGAAUGGAUCUUUUUGAAAUUUGACCAUAAGGUUAAAUACCACAAAAGGAAGGUUGGGAUUGAUUUUGGGGGUUAUGGUACCAACAGUUAAGGAAUUAGGGGCCAAAAAGGGGCCAAAAAUAAGCAUUUUCUAGUUUCCAGACAAUAACUGUGGAACGGUGUAUGGAUCUCUCUGAAAUUAUACUACAAGUUUCCAUACCACAAAGGGAUGGUUAGGAUUUGCUUUGGGGGGUUAUGGCUCAAACCGUUUAGGAAUUAGGGGCAAAAAAGGGGGAAAAACAAGGUUGUCCUGGUUAAUGGACAAAUACUUUAGUACAAAACAUAAUUUAAAGCAGUGUAAGGGAGAUAAAUCAAAUUCAUCAUUGAAAUUAUCUCCCUUACACUGCUUUUAAAUUAUGUAUAAAGUAAUGGUUAAUGAACAAUAAAGAUAAUUUAAACAAGGUAAGGGAGGUAAUCCAAAUACAACGUUUUGGUUACUUCCCUUACACUGCUUUUAAAUUAUGUUUAAAGAAAUGCAUAUUUAUAAAGGAAGACUAGUAAAAAUAUCUGCAAAUGUUGCAU